rnacentral:misc_RNA from 1 species
UUUCCGUAGGUGAACCUGCGGAAGGAUCAUUAUUGUAUAACCGAGGUGCGAGGGCUGUCGCUGACCCGAAACGUCGUGCACGCCCGAGUGCCCUCACACACAUCCAUCUCACCCCUAUGUGCACCACCGCGUGGGUCCCCCUUUGGCUUGUUCGGAGGGGGGCUUACGUUUUCACACGAACUUUGUAUGCAGUGUAGAAUGUAUUUUUUGUUUUUGCGAUCACGCAAUCAAUACAACUUUCAACAACGGAUCUCUUGGCUCUC